GAGCUUGCUCCUUUGACGUUAGCGGCGGACGGGUGAGUAACACGUGGGUAACCUACCUAUAAGACUGGGAUAACUUCGGGAAACCGGAGCUAAUACCGGAUAAUAUUUCGAACCGCAUGGUUCGAUAGUGAAAGAUGGUUUUGCUAUCACUUAUAGAUGGACCCGCGCCGUAUUAGCUAGUUGGUAAGGUAACGGCUUACCAAGGCGACGAUACGUAGCCGACCUGAGAGGGUGAUCGGCCACACUGGAACUGAGACACGGUCCAGACUCCUACGGGAGGCAGCAGUAGGGAAUCUUCCGCAAUGGGCGAAAGCCUGACGGAGCAACGCCGCGUGAGUGAUGAAGGUCUUCGGAUCGUAAAACUCUGUUAUUAGGGAAGAACAUACAUGUAAGUAACUAUGCACGUCUUGACGGUACCUAAUCAGAAAGCCACGGCUAACUACGUGCCAGCAGCCGCGGUAAUACGUAGGUGGCAAGCGUUAUCCGGAAUUAUUGGGCGUAAAGCGCGCGUAGGCGGUUUUUUAAGUCUGAUGUGAAAGCCCACGGCUCAACCGUGGAGGGUCAUUGGAAACUGUAAAACUUGAGUGCAGAAGAGGAAAGUGGAAUUCCAUGUGUAGCGGUGAAAUGCGCAGAGAUAUGGAGGAACACCAGUGGCGAAGGCGA
rnacentral:rRNA from 1 species